UAGCUUGCUACUUGACCUAGCGGCGGACGGGUGAGUAAUGCUUAGGAAUCUGCCUAUUAGUGGGGGACAACAUCUCGAAAGGGAUGCUAAUACCGCAUACGUCCUACGGGAGAAAGCAGGGGACCUUCGGGCCUUGCGCUAAUAGAUGAGCCUAAGUCGGAUUAGCUAGUUGGUGGGGUAAAGGCCUACCAAGGCGACGAUCUGUAGCGGGUCUGAGAGGAUGAUCCGCCACACUGGGACUGAGACACGGCCCAGACUCCUACGGGAGGCAGCAGUGGGGAAUAUUGGACAAUGGGGGGAACCCUGAUCCAGCCAUGCCGCGUGUGUGAAGAAGGCCUUUUGGUUGUAAAGCACUUUAAGCGAGGAGGAGGCUACCGAGAUUAAUACUCUUGGAUAGUGGACGUUACUCGCAGAAUAAGCACCGGCUAACUCUGUGCCAGCAGCCGCGGUAAUACAGAGGGUGCAAGCGUUAAUCGGAUUUACUGGGCGUAAAGCGCGCGUAGGUGGCCAAUUAAGUCAAAUGUGAAAUCCCCGAGCUUAACUUGGGAAUUGCAUUCGAUACUGGUUGGCU
rnacentral:rRNA from 1 species